rnacentral:piRNA from 1 species
GAUUCCAUUUGAUUGAAAAUA